UAAGACCAAAGUGCAACUAAGCUGUCAUAAGCCUAAGAUGCGUCUAAGACCCCCUCCCUUAAUAUGAUCUUAGUACUACGACUAACUGAAACCCACGAAAGCCAAGGCACAAACUGGGAUUAGAUACCCCACUAUGCUUGGCCCUAAAUCUAGAUGUUUCUUCCACCAAAACAUCCGCCCGAGAACUACGAGCGCAAACGCUUAAAACUCUAAGGACUUGGCGGUGCCCUAAACCCACCUAGAGGAGCCUGUUCUGUAAUCGAUAAUCCACGUUACACCCGACCUCUCCUUGCUAAAACAGCCUACAUACCGCCGUCGUCAGCCCACCUUUACUGAAAGAACAAUAGUGGGCUUAACAGCCCCACCCGCUAGCAAGACAGGUCGAGGUAUAGCCCAUGGAGAGGAAGUAAUGGGCUACAUUUUCUAAAAUAGAAUACUUUACGGAAAGGGGCUGUGAAACCACCCCUGGAAGGCGGAUUUAGCAGUAAAGUGGAACAAUGUAAGUCCACUUUAAGUUGGCCCUGGGGCACGUACAUACCGCCCGUCACCCUCC
rnacentral:rRNA from 1 species